GUUCCGGUCAACCAUAAAAAAUUUCCCGUGAGAUGUUAAGAUGGCUAACCUACUGGGAACUAGGGCGGGAUAUCCUUUUAAGGAUGGGAAUGUAAUAUAUUCUUGAACUUAACCUAACCUAUAUACGUGACCUAAUGUAAUCACACUUCUUCUUAAUACAACCACGUUAUUAUGUAGAAACGUAGAUUGGUUGUAGACAUUUGAAACGCCGGUUCUGAAAC
rnacentral:lncRNA from 1 species